rnacentral:rRNA from 1 species
GGAGGGAUCAUUACCGAGUUUACAACUCCCAAACCCAAUGUGAACGUUACCAAACUGUUGCCUCGGCGGGAACUCAUGCCCCGGGUGCGUCGCAGCCCCGGACCAAGGCGCCCGCCGGAGGACCAACCAAAACUCUUUUUGUAUACCCCCUCGCGGGUUUUUUAUAAUCUGAGCCUUCUCGGCGCCUCUCGUAGGCGUUUCGAAAAUGAAUCAAAACUUUCAACAACGGAUCUCUUGGUUCUGGCAUCGAUGAAGAACGCAGCGAAAUGCGAUAAGUAAUGUGAAUUGCAGAAUUCAGUGAAUCAUCGAAUCUUUGAACGCACAUUGCGCCCGCCAGUAUUCUGGCGGGCAUGCCUGUCCGAGCGUCAUUUCAACCCUCGAACCCCUCCGGGGGGUCGGCGUUGGGGAUCGGCCUUCCUUCACGGGGGCCGUCUCCGAAAUACAGUGGCGGUCUCGCCGCAGCCUCUCCUGCGCAGUAGUUUGCACACUCGCAUCGGGAGCGCGGCGCGUCCACAGCCGUUAAACACCCAACUUCUGAAAUGUUGACCUCGGAUCAGGUAGGAAUACCCGCUGA